CCCUUAGAUGUUCUGGGCAGCACGCGCGCUACAAUGGUCUUCGCAAACGGAUGCAUUCUCGAAGGAGAAUGCCAAUCUUGGAAUCUAUGCCUUGGUCGGGACAGUUGCUUGCAAUUUUUCGACUCGAACCAGGAAUUCCUUGUAAUCGUGAUUCAUCACAUCACGAUGAAUACGUCCCUGCCCUUUGUACACACCGCCCGUCGCUCCUACCGAUCGAAGAGUUAGGUGAAUUGUUUUGAUCGAUAAGUUUUGACUAUGGUCAACUCUCGUUGUGAAAUUCUGUGAAUCUGACUGUUUAGAGGAAGGAAAAGUCGUAACA
rnacentral:rRNA from 1 species